CUUCAUCACUCACGCGGCAUCUGCUGCGAUCAGAGCUUGCCUCCCAUUGUGCCAAUAUUCCCCA
rnacentral:rRNA from 1 species